rnacentral:lncRNA from 1 species
AGGCCAACUCGAGACGCAAGGUGUACCGAAGUGAGGUAAUUUGCGAUUCGUAAUUCAACGGAGGCAAGCGUAACGCCUAUCCGGGGGAGGACUUCGCUGGGACGAAAUAGAAAAUUGAAUUAUUAUUUUGACUUAUUUUGUAUAUAAUUUAGAAUUAAUAGAUUUGCUUUAUUUUCAA